rnacentral:lncRNA from 1 species
CGGGGAGGGAGGGGAGGGAGAGAGGAAGAAGGGGUGAGAGGGAGAAACCUGCCGCCGCUCGCCGCCUCUUUGUCUGCUCCGGGACUUGGAACAAAAGGGGGAACUCUGAUGAACUCUCUUCCCUCCCUUCUCCCCCGGACGCUCGGGCAUCUCCCUCUCGCAACUUUGCAGCCGCGACUUUCUCUGCUGUCAGGCCACGGGGAAGUGUCCGAGCGCCUCGCGGACCGCAACAAGGGAAACGCCUCUGAAAAGUGCGACCAAGUGGGGAAGAAGCCAACGAUACGGAAGUCCCAAUAUAACAUCAAAUCAUUCCUGGGUGGAAAGCCAUCAAACUUCUUCAUUUGGAGUUACUUAAAAGUUAAAUUGUUGGAAUUUUUGAUGAUGCUUCCUUUAUGUGGAUUACUACAAUUUGAUCACUGGGAACUCUCCACCUUAAAGAAGACUGUUUUGCUGUCUGGAAACUCAUGCCCACCUCUGACUUCCCGCACAGUGUGACUGCAAGAGGAGAGUCAAAAUCGCUUCCCCCACAGUGUGACUUCCAGAGUUGUUAGACAUUGGGAUGUCCUUCUGAGGUGGGCUGUGGAAUGCCAUGUAAGUUUUUACUUUUUUUUUUCUGAAUGUGAUAGAUUUUCAGGUGCAGUAGGGAUGGCUUAG